rnacentral:lncRNA from 1 species
CUUUGUCAAACCCCUAACCAUCCUCGAACUCGGCUUCUUGAUACUUUUCUCUUUUAUAACUCCAUGACGAGAAUCAUGUUUCAGACCGGUUUGGUUCUUCUGAUUAAGUCUACUCUUGUUCUCCUUCCUUGCCUCAGAACUAGAGGUGCCUUUCAUGUAAUUAGGAGACAUACCUGUCCCUUUAACAGCAACUAGAUCAUGUUUCUUUGGUGGUGUUUGUGGCUUACCUGAUUGAGAAACCGAACUGUCUAUAACCUUCCUUUUAGGUUUUGUCCGCUUCUUCAUCGUCAUCAUCUCCGGUCCAAGGCUCUUGACAUGUUCUUGACAAAACCGAGUUUCAGGCUGGAGAUUAUAAGACUCGGUUGCUUGACAAGUCUUCCUCUGAACCAUCUUCUCAAAGUCUUUGCUUUGCCUGAAGACAAAGCUAUUGUUUGUUUACAGCACAAGAAGAAAGAAGAAAAAAACGUAAGAUUCUCUUUUGUUUUUUCAAUGGUAGGAUACGUAUGCGGUUUUGUCUUAGUGCAUUUAUAACUUUACGUGAAUUUUGUUCAGACUUGAAAUAUUUUGAAUAUAACUUUGUGAUUUGGACAAGCACUGAUAAAGAUAUUGAUUUUGGUCGGUCCAGUUUCUCUUUUAUUAUUGGUGGGAGGAGCCAACCUCUCCAUGUAACACGAGCGAUAAUGCGCAUUAUGUUCUUUUGUCCUCUUCCAAGUUUUUUUUUGGCUCCUCUGACCCCACAAAUUAACGAAGAGGGCUAUCAUAUUAUAUAGUUUUAAAUGUUUGAUUUGUAUUUGAGUGUAUAUAAACAAGUUUGGUAUCUGCAAAUGUCUAUAAUCAAAGCCAUACCAAAAGCAUUUCGUUAUUGGAGAACCGACGAUUUUUUUUCUGGUUUUAGUCCACAAAGGUGUGUCCAAAAAGUAUAAUAUGACUUUCUCACGCAUAUUGCUUUCUAGAAUAAGGAGUAUCAAUAUCUGAAUUAUUUUACUUAUGUUGCAAACAAACAGUCGUUGUUCUUCUUUUAUUGUUUAAUAUCAUGAUAUAACUAGUUUUGUUGAUAUGGGUGAAUUUUUGAAGCUUGAAUGCUAAUGAUCCAUGAGUCAUAUAUAAUGCAUUCAAGUAAAGAAUCUGAGAGUGUUUCAUCAGAAUAAUACAUAAUGCAUCGUAUGAUUUUGAAGUUACAUUCCUCACCUCGGUUCUCUCAUGAUUUUAAAAUCAAAUUUAACUUUUCUAUGUGAGGUAAUCACAACGAGCCUCAUUUUGUUUUGACUCCUCCCCUUUUUGACUUCCAUCUUUCAUACAGUAAAAAAAGUGUUUAGUACACUUAUCAUAUACUCCUCCUCAUAUAUCAAAAUCUUUAGUCUACAUACAGCCUCUCUAAUCAUUUUAAAGAUCUGAAAGACGUUUUUAAACUGUUUGUAUCUAUUGUAGUGAGGAAAGUAAAAAACAGUAGUUGACACACAAAAAAAGAGUUAAAAAAAACACUCGCAGACAACUCAAAUUAUUGACACAUACGAGUUUUGCGGCGAUUUACAAGCUUUUUGUAUGCAUCAAACACCAUUUGGAAGUUAAACCACACAUGCUAUAUGCAAUAGUGCAAACAACUAACUACAAAGCGCUUUCCGUAAAAUUUCAUGUAACAAAGUUCAAUCCCAUCACUUAAUCACAUAUGUCUAUAAUUGCAGUAUAAAAAGAGUUAAAGAUGUUUAUCAACCAUACUGAGGCAUAAGAUUGAACCAGUCUACAUUCAUAUCUGAUCCGCUGAUUCACUUUGUUGUGCUUGAGGAGGACGAUGUGGAGGUGUCAAGAACACUGGUGGAGGAGUAUGGUGGAGGAGUCCAGAGACCAGCAUGAGGAGUAUAGGUUGUAUAGAGACCUGGUUGAGGACUCCAGAGCCCUGCUGGAAGAGUCCCGGUUGGGCUGAGAUCUUGAGCUGGGACAAACUCCAUCAAGCGACCCGUAUAAUACUCAAUUGAACCAGGGGGAAAUUCGUGGAAAGGGAGAGUUGGAAUUGUCGCUGGAGAAGGUGGGGGAGAGAGCGAUGGGGAUGGAGGUGGUGAGGGUGUAAGAAUCCGGUAUAAGGAUGGGGAUUUAGCCGGUGCACACCUGCGGAUAACAACAUCGGGAGAUCCAUAGAUCUCCAUGUCACCUGAGAUGAAAAUAAGAGAUUCAGAUCUCUCAUUUAGAUUUCAAAAUGAUAAAAUUAGAAACAAGAGUUACCUUCUGAGUCGAUGCAAAGGGACAUUUUAACUUUAUAGGACUUUGAAAUUUUAUUAAUUUGUAGCGACCAUAUAUUUACAUAUUCUUAUGCACACAUUUGAUUUAGUUUCUUCAUGCCAGCAAUCAAUGAAUCGAAGAACUAUUGAAACCCAACACUAGGUGAUCAAUAUCAAACACAAACUUAUUGCUUUAGAAAUUUUCUCAAAACUAAAGCUUUCUCAUAAAUCUCUUUAAGUUAUACCACAUCAUGGUAUCUCCUUAUGUAUAACUCAUAUUUUCCUAAACUCAUUAGGAAACAUAUAUUUCCUUUUCUUGAUCCUAAACUCAUUAGGAAAGCUUACAAUCUAAGUUAACUUCAAGCUUAAGUCAACAAGAACAAGUUUGUUUCUCUCAAUUUCUAGGGUUAUAUUUUUUUAGGUUUCUUCUGUCGAAAGUAUCUAAUUAUAUAAUUACAAAAACUGCCAUUGCCAUUUAAUCAAGUCUGUUUACAAUAUUAUUAAACCAAUGAAAUUAUACAAGUUAUAUACUAAACCAGAAAUUUGAGAUGUAUUUCUUGGCUUCUUCAAAAUCAGAUCUUAUCUUUCCAAAAAUCAGUUCACUACUUUUAUAUAUCAAACUGGGCUAAACCCGCCCUACGGGCGGGUAUGCAAAUGAAAAAUAGUUAAAAAUUUAUUAAUUUGUAAAAUAUUUUUUAUUUUAAACUGAAAGUAGAUUAACUAUUUUGUUAUUCUUGUUGAAAAUAUAAGAUUGAUUAACAUUUUUUUCAUGAUCUAUUCUACUUUAUCAGUUAGUAAAAUAUAUUAAAUUACUCCAAAUUGUAGUUGAAAUUCAACAUAAAAAUUAUGAAAUUUCUACCUCUUAUACUCUGUUUUCAAAUCAAAUGAGCGUUUUAGUUUCCGUUAUAAAUUUUCUUUUAAACAUAAUAAUUCAGAUAAUAUGAAAAAUAAAAUAAUCCAUUAACUAUUGAAAAUUAUUUAGAUUGUAUAAAAUUAUAAUACGAAUCGUUACGAUAUGAUUCUGAAGGCGACGGAGCCGAAGAUGGUUUUGUUCAAUAUCUAUGAUGAUUGGUUGAAGAGUGUUUCUUCUUAUACCUGCUUUUCGAGACUUAUUCUGAUCCUACGUGCGCUUCAUGUGAAUAACGAGAAGGCUAAGAUGCUGUUGAAGCCAGACAAGUCUGUUAUCACUGAGCCGCAUCACAUCUGGCCAUCGCUCACUGAUGAACAAUGGAUUAAGGUGGAGGUAGCACUAAGAGAUUUAAUCCUUUCUGACUAUGCGAAGAAAAACAACGUCAACACUUCCGCUCUAACUCAAUCGGAGAUGAGAGAUAUUAUUCUAGGAGCUGAGAUCACUCCGCCGUCUCAACAGAGGCAACAAAUAGCUGAGAUUGAGAAACAAGCCAGCCAGGUUAUCGCAGUCACAACGAAAACGAGAAACGUUCAUGGAGACGAGCUCGUCGUCUCCACCGUCACCCCCUACGAGCAAGCAGCGUUUAGCUCCAAGACGGACUGGCGCGUGCGUGCAAUAUCAGCAACCAACCUCUACCUAAGAGUCAACCACAUCUACGUGAACUCAGACGGCGUGAACGAGUCCGGAUACACGUACAUCAUGCCGAAGAACCUCCUGAAGAGGUUCAUAUGCGUAGCGGAUCUCCGCACCCAAAUAGCUGGAUACUUGUACGGUAUCAGCCCUCCGGAUAACCCUCGAGUGAAGGAGAUUCGUUGCGUUGUGAUGGUGCCGCAGCGGGGAAGCUCCCAGGCUGUUCACUUGCCGUCGUCUCUCCCUGAGAAUGAUUUAUUAAACGAACUCGAGCCAUUGGGGUGGUUGCACACGCAGCCCAACGAGCUUCCGGAGCUCUCGCCGCAGGAUGUUGUCUCUCAUUCCCGGAUUUUUGAGAAGAACAAGAGGGGAUGGGAUGGAGAAAAAUGCAUCGUCAUGACGUGCAGUUUUACUCCGGGUUCGUGCUCUUUGACGGCGUAUAAGCUGACUCAAAGUGGAUAUGAAUGGGGACGAGUCAACCAGGACGCAGGCGGGAGAAGCGAUCCUCGGGGUUACGUUCCCACGCAUUAUGAGAAGGUUCAGAUGCUGUUGAGUGAUCGUUUUCUUGGGUUUUAUAUGGUUCCUGAAAACGGAUCGUGGAACUAUAAUUUUAUGGGAACGAAGCAUGCGGUGGAUAUGAAGUACAGCGUCAGACUUGGAUACCCGAAGGAGUACUUUGACGUGGAGCAUCGACCUACUCAUUUUUUGGAGUUUAGCAACAUGGAGGAUGCUGACAUGGCUGAGGGAGAUCGAGAGGACAUCUUUGGUUGACUUUAUUUCUCUACAAUGCACUUCUUGUAGACUUGUAGCUGCGUAUGAAUAAUAACUGUUCUUACUACUAUCUUUGAGUAUGAUUUAUGCAAUAUUGAGUGCCUUUGCAACUGCUUUUGUUUUUUUUUUUGUCUUUAUUUCGAGAUCUUGAGUUCUGCUUGCUGGCUGGUGCUAUUGCUUAGUUUACGAUUCAAAUUUUCAGAAAAAUUCUUGUACUGAGACAUCACUUUGUUUUUUUGUCGUAUUAGAUAUUUGUAGUAGUUUGGAUUUAAAUGUAGUACUAGAAGAUAUCUGUCUGAUAAUUGAGAACAAGCUAACCAAUGAUUGAGGUUCAGUCCCCAAGUCCUAAGUGCUUUGCUAGUUAAAAUAGCUACGGAAGUUUGUGUUUAAGAGUCGACUGUAGCUUAUUGAUUUGUUUUGCUGUUAUCUGGACAUAAGCUCAAGUGUGUAUAUGUAUUAAUUUUAGCCUCCUAGGUUUCUGGUUUUAUACUCGCAUACUCUUGUAAUCUUGCUAUUCUCUUAUGGUUAUGGAUGAUUUUUAUUGAGUGCUUCGUUUUAUCAAUUUUAUAAUGGUCUGUUCUACGUAACAGAACGUUCUAAAUCAUAUGGUUAGAGGCUGAAAACAACUGCCAAUGUCUUAUAACAACCAACAACAACAACAUUCAAUUGAUGCAGAGUUUCAAAGAGUUACAUAUUACUAGACAAAUACAUAAGAUCGUCUCAUACAUUAGUCUCAAACCAAAGCACACACCAAGUCCGCCUCACAGACUAAGGAGAAUCAUAUCAUUCAUAUUACUACCACACACAGAAACCAUUAAACUUUUUUCAUAACCAUAACUUGCAACAAAUCAGAUUUAUUAGCUGAGUUUUUCUUAAUAAGAGAUUCAGUUGAUUACCUCUGUUAAUUGCAGGUCUGAAGGUGUCUUCCAUAACUCAUAACCGGUGCAGGCUCUCUACCACGUGGCAUAACAGGUUUCACAGUCUCAAAUGCCUCCACAAGCAAUGCAACUUUCCUCUUCCUCGCUGAGGAAAGUUUGGUAACAGCACGCUGCAGAGCACAAUCAAACAUCCAGUCCUCUGAGUUUCUCCUCUCAUCUAUGUCCUGAUGCUUGAGAUCAACCUUUUCAGUAUCCGCAUCAGCUACAACUGGAAGGUAAUUGGGUUCUCUUGGGUUGAACUCCCUCAAAUCCUCUGUCUCUGCCAGAGGUUUCUUGCCUUUGGUGAUAGUCCAAGAAAUGGUGGCAUCUGACUCUUCUUGGUUACAUGGCUUUUGUUUACGGUUAUAUGGAAUCUUUGUAGUUUCUUCAGUUUGGUCUUGAAGCUCCUCUUUGUGAUCUUCACUAGCAUCAUCUGCUUCUGAGUUUUCUUGGAUCUCUUUCACUGAGUCAUCUAAUAGAGUCUCCUCCAAGUCAUGAUCACCUUCUAAAAACCUCACCAUAUCUUCACUAUCAGAGUCAUCAUUGACUUCACAAGAAGUCUCUUUCACUGAGUCUUUAACUAGACUCUCCUCCAAAUCAUACUGUCUUGUUUCAGUUCCAUGUUCACCUUCUGAAGUCUUCACCAUCUCUUCAGCACCUUCAGAGUAGUAAUCAUCAGCCUCAUGAGUCUCUUGGAUCUCUUUCACAAAGUCAGCUACAAAAGUAUCCUCCAUACCAGAUUCUUUUAACUCCAUGUCAUCAUCACUUUCUGAUAACUUCACCAUCUCUUGAGUAUCUGAGUAAUCAUCUGAAUCGGUUUCAGAACGAGGUGCUCCUUCAGAGAUAGCUUCUGAGAUUUGAGUAACAACAUCAAUCUCAAUAGUCUCUUUCUUCUCCUCAACAUACAUCUCCACAACAUCUUCCUUAGAAGCUUUCUUCUGAGACUUCAAACUCCGUCUCCUCGAGGAUAUAAAGCUUUUGAGAGGAGGAUACUGCUUGUGGAGAUGGCCGUUGAGUGAACAGUACGUGUAAGGACAGACUUUCAAGACAGAGGUUCCACUAACUUCAUCAUCAGUUCCAUCAUGAUGAAGCAUCAGAUAGUCUGGAAACUUGGAGUCUUUCAAAGUAGAGGAACAAGUAGCUCUCUGUGAACAUCUCUUGAAACUUGGAGCCUUUGUCAAACCCCUAACCAUCCUCGAACUCGGCUUCUUGAUACUUUUCUCUUUUAUAACUCCAUGACGAGAAUCAUGUUUCAGACCGGUUUGGUUCUUCUGAUUAAGUCUACUCUUGUUCUCCUUCCUUGCCUCAGAACUAGAGGUGCCUUUCAUGUAAUUAGGAGACAUACCUGUCCCUUUAACAGCAACUAGAUCAUGUUUCUUUGGUGGUGUUUGUGGCUUACCUGAUUGAGAAACCGAACUGUCUAUAACCUUCCUUUUAGGUUUUGUCCGCUUCUUCAUCGUCAUCAUCUCCGGUCCAAGGCUCUUGACAUGUUCUUGACAAAACCGAGUUUCAGGCUGGAGAUUAUAAGACUCGGUUGCUUGACAAGUCUUCCUCUGAACCAUCUUCUCAAAGUCUUUGCUUUGCC